rnacentral:rRNA from 1 species
AACGAACGCUGGCGGCAGGCCUAACACAUGCAAGUCGAGCGCGCCUUCGGGUGAGCGGCGGACGGGUUAGUAACGCGUGGGAACGUGCCCUUCUCUACGGAAUAGCCUCUGGAAACGGAGAGUAAUACCGUAUACGCCCUUUGGGGGAAAGAUUUAUCGGAGAAGGAUCGGCCCGCGUUAGAUUAGGUAGUUGGUGGGGUAACGGCCUACCAAGCCUACGAUCUAUAGCUGGUUUUAGAGGAUGAUCAGCAACACUGGGACUGAGACACGGCCCAGACUCCUACGGGAGGCAGCAGUGGGGAAUCUUAGACAAUGGGGGCAACCCUGAUCUAGCCAUGCCGCGUGAGUGAUGAAGGCCUUAGGGUCGUAAAGCUCUUUCGCCUGUGAUGAUAAUGACAGUAGCAGGUAAAGAAACCCCGGCUAACUCCGUGCCAGA